GCGUAGGUGGUUCAGUGGUAGAACUCUCUCCUCCCAUGUGGGGGACCUGGGUUCAAUUCCUGGCCUAUGCA